GCGAAUGGUGGAUGCCUUGACUGGUAAAGGCGAUGAAGGACGUACUAGACUGCGAUAAGCUACGGGGAGCUGUCAAGAAGCUUUGAUCCGUAGAUUUCCGAAUGGGGCAACCCAAUGUAUAGAGAUAUACAUUACCUAUAUAGGAGCGAACGAGGGGAAUUGAAACAUCUUAGUACCCUCAGGAAAAGAAAUCAAUAGAGAUUGCGUCAGUAGCGGCGAGCGAAAGCGCAAGAGGGCAAACCCAGUGCUUGCACUGGGGGUUGUAGGACUGCAAUGUGCAAGAGGUAAGUUUAGCAGAACAUUCUGGAAAGUAUAACCAUAGAGGGUGAUAGUCCCGUAUGCGAAAAACAAACCUUAGCUAGCAGUAUCCUGAGUAGGGCGGGACACGAGGAAUCCUGUCUGAAUCCGGGUCGACCACGAUCCAACCCUAAAUACUAAUACCAGAUCGAUAGUGCACAAGUACCGUGAGGGAAAGGUGAAAAGAACUGAGGUGAUCAGAGUGAAAUAGAACCUGAAACCAUUUGCUUACAAUCAUUCAGAGCCCUAUGUAGCAAUACAGGGUGAUGGACUGCCUUUUGCAUAAUGAGCCUGCGAGUUGUGGUGUCUGGCAAGGUUAAGCAAACGCGAAGCCGUAGCGAAAGCGAGUCUGAAUAGGGCGCUUAGUCAGAUGCUGCAGACCCGAAACGAAGUGAUCUAUCCAUGAGCAAGUUGAAGCUAGUGUAAGAACUAGUGGAGGACUGAACCCAUAGGCGUUGAAAAGCCCCGGGAUGACUUGUGGAUAGGGGUGAAAGGCCAAUCAAACUUCGUGAUAGCUGGUUCUCUCCGAAAUAUAUUUAGGUAUAGCGUUGUGUCGUAAUAUAAGGGGGUAGAGCACUGAAUGGGCUAGGGCAUACACCAAUGUACCAAACCCUAUCAAACUCCGAAUACCUUAUAUGUAAUCACAGCAGUCAGGCGGCGAGUGAUAAAAUCCGUCGUCAAGAGGGAAACAACCCAGACUACCAGCUAAGGUCCCUAAAUCUUACUUAAGUGGAAAACGAUGUGAAGUUACUUAAACAACCAGGAGGUUGGCUUAGAAGCAGCCAUCCUUUAAAGAAAGCGUAAUAGCUCACUGGUCUAGUGAUUUUGCGCGGAAAAUAUAACGGGGCUAAAGUAAGUACCGAAGCUGUAGACUUAGUUUACUAAGUGGUAGGAGAGCGUUCUAUUUGCGUCGAAGGUAUACCGGUAAGGAGUGCUGGAGCGAAUAGAAGUGAGCAUGCAGGCAUGAGUAGCGAUAAUUAAUGUGAGAAUCAUUAACGCCGUAAACCCAAGGUUUCCUACGCGAUGCUCGUCAUCGUAGGGUUAGUCGGGUCCUAAGUCGAGUCCGAAAGGGGUAGACGAUGGCAAAUUGGUUAAUAUUCCAAUACCAACAUUAGUGUGCGAUGGAAGGACGCUUAGGGCUAAGGGGGCUAGCGGAUGGAAGUGCUAGU
rnacentral:rRNA from 1 species